GCUGGGCGUGGUGGUGCACGCCUGUAGUCCCAGCUACUCAGGAAGCUGAGGCAGGAGAAUCGCUUGAACCCAGGAGGUGGAGGUUGCAGUAAUCUCGCCACUGCACUCACGCCUGGGCAACAGAGCGAGACUCUGUCUCAA
rnacentral:SRP_RNA from 1 species